CCUACGGGUGGCAGCAGUGAGGAAUAUUGGUCAAUGGACGAGAGUCUGAACCAGCCAAGUAGCGUGAAGGAUGACUGCCCUAUGGGUUGUAAACUUCUUUUAUAAAGGAAUAAAACGAGGCACGUGUGCCUUUUUGCAUGUACUUUAUGAAUACGGAUCGGCUAACUCGGUGCCAGCAGCCGCGGUAAUAUGGAGGAUCCGUGCGUUAUCCGGAUUUAUUGGGUUUAAAGGGGCGUAGAUGGGUUGUUAAGUCAGUUGUGAAAGUUUGCGGCUCAACCGUAAAAUUGCAAUUGAUACUGGCAGACUUGAGUACAGAUGAGGAAGGCGGAAUUCGAGGUGUAGCGGUGAAAUGCUUAGAUAUCACGAAGAACCCCGAUUGCGAAGGCAGCUUACUAAACUGUGACUGACGUUGAUGCUCGAAAGUGUGGGUAUCAAACAGGAUUAGAUACCCGUGUAGUC
rnacentral:rRNA from 1 species